UUAAGCUAAUAAGAGCGCAGGGAGGAUGCCUUGGCAUCAGGAGCCGAUGAAGGACGCGGUAAGCUGCGAAAAGCUCCGGGGAGUGGCAAGCACACAUUGAUCCGGAGAUGUCCGAAUGGAGCAAUCCACAUGAGUGAAGCUCAUGUAUCAUAUACUGAAUAAAUAGGUAUAUGAGGGGAACCGUCUGAACUGAAACAUCUAAGUAGGACGAGGAAAAGAAAUCAACCGAGAUUCCGCUAGUAGUGGCGAGCGAACGCGGAAGAGGCUAAACCAGAGUCAGCAAUGACUUUGGGGUUUGGACUGCAUUUAGUAUCAAUGAGGUCUAGUCGAAGUACAUGGGAAGGUACAUCGAAGAGGGUGAGAAUCCCGUAGACGAAAGAUCAAGUUGGCGAGCAGUAUCCAGAGUACCGCCGGACACGUGAAACCCGGUGGGAACACGGGGGGACCAUCCUCCAAGCCUAAAUACUACCUGAUGACCGAUAGCGCAUAGUACUGUGAAGGAAAGGUGAAAAGAACCCCGGGAGGGGAGUGAAAGAGAGCCUGAAACCCUGUGCUUACAAGCACACAGAGCACGUCAAAGUGUGAUGUGGUACCUAUUGUAGAAUGGUCCGGCGAGUUAUUUUAUGCAGCGAGGUUAAGGACUUAAGGUCUGUAGCCGAAGUGAAAGCGAGUGUUAAUAGCACGAAACAGUUGCAUGCAAUAGACCCGAAACCGGGUGACCUAUCCAUGUCCAGGCUGAAGUGAGGGUAAAACCUCAUGGAGGGCCGAACCGACUCCCGUUGAAAUGGUAGCGGAUGAGGUGUGGAUAGCGGAGAAAUUCCAAUCGAACCCGGAUAUAGCUGGUUCUCCCCGAAACCGUUUUAGGACGGGCCUCGUGUGAAGAUUAUCGGAGGUAAAGCACUGAAUAGCCUAGGGGGCGAGAGCCUACCGAAGCUUAUCAAACUCUGAAUGCCGAAUAAUCGUUUCACGGGAGUCAGACUGUGUGAGAUAAGUUUCAUAGUCAAAAGGGAAACAGCCCAGACCCACAGCUAAGGUCCCAAAGUGUAUUUAAGUGGAAAACGAUGUGAAGUUGCGUAGACAACCAGGAUGUUGGCUUAGAAGCAGCCACUCAUUAAAAGAGUGCGUAAUAGCUCACUGGUCGAGUGACUUUGCGCGGAAAAUUUAACGGGGCUAAAAUACACACCGAAGCUUGGGCUUGACGCUUUUGCGUCAGGGGUAGGGGAGCGUCGUGUAAGGGGCGAAGUCGUAUCGUAAGGGACGGUGGACUUUACACGAGUGAGAAUGCCGGAAUGAGUAGCGAGAAUUAUGUGAGAAUCAUAAUGGUCGAAAGCCUAAGGUUUUUGGAGGAAGGUUCGUCCGCUCCAAGUAAGCCGGGAGCUAAGGUCAGGCGGAAACGCGUAGCCGAUGCACAUACGGUUGAAAUUCCGUAGCCUCAGAAAGAUUUAAGCGAAGGGACACUUUGAAAGGACUGUUGCCGGGUGUUGGUUACCCCGGUCGUAAGGGAACGAAAUUAAGUAGUGAAGGCAGUCUGGACGGAGGCGAGAAAAGCUUCGUGUAUAUCUUAUGAGCCCGUACCGCAAACCGACACAGGUAGGUGGGAUGAGAAUUCUAAGACCAACGGGAGAAGGGUAGUUAAGGAACUCGGCAAAUUGUCCCCGUAACUUCGGAAUAAGGGGAGCCUGCGAAAGCAGGCCGCAGAGAAUUGGCCCAGGCGACUGUUUAUCAAAAACACAGCUCUAUGCUAAAUCGAAAGAUGACGUAUAUGGGGUGACACCUGCCCGGUGCUGGAAGGUUAAGAGGAGAUGUGAGAGCAUCGAAUUGAAGCCCCAGUAAACGGCGGCCGUAACUAUAACGGUCCUAAGGUAGCGAAAUUCCUUGUCAGGUAAGUUCUGACCCGCACGAAUGGUGUAACGAUCUGGGCACUGUCUCGACUACCCGCCCGGCGAAAUUGUAGUACCGGUGAAGAUGCCGGUUACCCGCGACUAGACGGAAAGACCCCAUGGAGCUUUACUGUAGCUUAAUAUUGGAUUUCGGCAGUUCAUGUACAGGAUAGGUGGGAGACUAUGAAACACGGGCGUCAGCUUGUGCGGAGUCGUCCUUGGGAUACCACUCUUGGAUUGCUGGAAUUCUAACCUGCGGCCCUGAAUCGGGUCGGGGGACAUUGUUAGGUGGGCAGUUUGACUGGGGCGGUCG
rnacentral:rRNA from 1 species